rnacentral:misc_RNA from 1 species
CGCACAUUGCGCCCGCUGGAAUUCCAGCGGGCAUGCCUGUUCGAGCGUCAUUUCAACCCUCAAGCCUGGCUUGGUGUUGGAGCACUACCCGUUACACGGUAGGCUCUGAAAUUCAGUGGCGGGCUCGCUAAGACUCUGAGCGUAGUAGUUUAUCACCUCGCUUUGGAUGGAUUAGCGGUGUUCUGGCCGUAAAACACCCCAAAUUUUUCUGAAUUUUGACCUCGGAUCAGGUAGGAAUACCCGCUGAACUUAA